rnacentral:lncRNA from 1 species
CCUGAGCUGGGAACAAGAAGUAGGCUGGAGAGAUGGAGCAGUGAUUAAGAAUACUGACUGUUCUUCCAGAGGUCCUGAGUUCAAUUUCCAGCAACAACUUGGUGACUUCCUUUUUUCUCAACAUGCAGCCCUGAGUGAGCUCUCCCUGAGUGGGGAGGUGAGUUUUCAGAGAGCAGGGCUCCUUAGCUGGACAGACUAGGCAAGAGAGGCGCCAAGUGGACAGAUGUAUCUCUCACCAGAGCUUGGAACAGACUCCUGGUCAUUCACUUUGCUCAGUAAAUGGCUACCCUUCUUGCCAGG